UUUGGUGAUGAUGGCAGAGAGGUCACACCCGUUCCCAUACCGAACACGGAAGUUAAGCUCUCUAGCGCCGAUGGUAGUUGGGACCUUGUCCUUG
rnacentral:rRNA from 1 species